rnacentral:rRNA from 1 species
UAAUACGAGCAGCCCAAGUGGUGUCCGCGAAUAUUGGGCUUAAAGCGUCCGUAGCCGGCUCGAUAAGUCCUUGGUGAAAGCCCAUCGCCUAACUUUGGGAAGUGCCAGGGAUACUAUUGAACUUGGAGGCGGGAGAGGUCAGAGGUAUUUCUAGAGUAGCGGUAAAAUGCUAUAAUCCUAGAAAGACCACCGGUAGUGAAGGCGUCUGACUGGAACGCGCUCGACGGUGAGGGACGAAGGCUAGGGUAGCGACAGGGAUUAGAUACCCCUUUAGUCCUAGCUGUAAAUUAUGCAGACUUGGUGUCAUGUGACCCACGAGGUUAUGUGGUGCCGAAGGGAAACCAAUAAGUCUGCCGCCUGGGAAGUAUGGUCGCAAGACUG